rnacentral:rRNA from 1 species
CCUACGAGAGGCAGCAGUGAGGAAUAUUGGUCAAUGGGCGGAAGCCUGAACCAGCCAAGUAGCGUGCAGGAUGACGGCCCUACGGGUUGUACACUGCUUUUAUACGGGAAUAACGCGCCUUACGUGUAGGGCUUUGCAUGUACCUUAUGAAUAAGGACCGGCUAAUUCCGUGCCAGCAGCCGCGGUAAUAAGGAAGGUCCGGGCGUUAUACGGAUUUAUUGGGUUUAAAGGGAGCGUAGGCCGCAUGUCAAGCGUGUUGUGAAGUGUCGGGGCUUAACCCGGGCCUUGCAGCGCGGACUGGCGUGCUUGAGUCCGCGGAAAGCAGGCGGAAUUCGUCGUGUAGCGGUGAAAUGCUUAGAUAUGACGAAGAACCCCGAUUGCGAAGGCAGCUUGCUGCAGCGGAACUGACGCUGAUGCUCGAAAGCGCGGGUAUCGAACAGGAUUAGAUACCCCGGUAGUC